rnacentral:rRNA from 1 species
AGAGUUUGAUCCUGGCUCAGAAUGAACGCUGGCGGCGUGCCUAACACAUGCAAGUCGGAUGUGCCCGCAAGGGUGCAUGGCAGACGGGUGAGUAACGCGUGGGGAAUCUACCUCUUUGUGGGGAAUAACGCUCCGAAAGGAGUGGUAAUACCGCAUGAGACCAAUGGCUGGAAUGCUGUUGGUGAAACCUGGGGACCGCAAGGCCUGGGGCAAGGAGAGGAUCCUGCGUCUGAUUAGCUAGUUGGCGGGGUAACGGCCCACCAAGGCGACGAUCAGUAGCCGGCCUGAGAGGGUGAUCCCCCACACUGGUACUGAGACACGGACCAGACUCCUACGGGAGGCAGCAGUGAGGAAUAUUGGUCAAUGGGCGCAAGCCUGAACCAGCCAUCCCGCGUGCAGGAUGAAGGCCCUAUGGGUCGUAAACUGCCUUUAUACACCAAGAAAAACACCCACGUGUGGGUGCCCGACGGUAGUGUAUGAAUAAGCAUCGGCUAACUCCGUGCCAGCAGCCGCGGUAAUACGGAGGAUGCAAGCGUUAUCCGGAUUCAUUGGGUUUAAAGGGUGCGUAGGCGGCUUUUUAAGUCAGUGGUGAAAUCUUGCCGCUUAACGGUAAAAUUGCCAUUGAUACUGAUAAGCUUGAGUACAAUUGAGGUAAGCGGAAUGUGUAGUGUAGCGGUGAAAUGCUUAGAUAUUACACAGAACACCGAUUGCGAAGGCAGCUUACUAAACUGUUACUGACGCUGAUGCACGAAAGCGUGGGGAGCGAACAGGAUUAGAUACCCUGGUAGUCC